rnacentral:rRNA from 1 species
UGGUUCCUACGGGGCGCAGCAGUGGGGGAUAUUGCACAAUGGGGGGAACCCUGAUGCAGCGACGCCGCGUGGGUGAAGAAGUAUUUCGGUAUGUAAAGCCCUAUCGGCAGGGAAGAAUUUAGACGGUACCUGACUAAGAAGCCCCGGCUAACUACGUGCCAGCAGCCGCGGGAAUACGUAGGGGGCAAGCGUUAUCCGGAUUCACUGGGUGUAAAGGGAGCGUAGACGGCCAUGCAAGCCUGGAGUGAAAGCCCGGGGCCCAACCCCGGGACUGCUCUGGGAACUGGGCGGCUG